rnacentral:tRNA from 1 species
GCGGAUGUGGCGGAACUGGCAGACGCGCAGGAUUUAGGUUCCUGUGAGGAAACUCGUGCAGGUUCGAUCCCUGUCAUCCGCACUA